AGUGAACGCUGGCGGUAGGCCUAACACAUGCAAGUCGAACGGCAGCACAGUGAGAGCUUGCUCUUACGGGUGGCGAGUGGCGGACGGGUGAGGAAUACAUCGGAAUCUACUUUUUCGUGGGGGAUAACGUAGGGAAACUUACGCUAAUACCGCAUACGACCUAGGGGUGAAAGCAGGGGAUCUUCGGACCUUGCGCGAUUGAAUGAGCCGAUGUCGGAUUAGCUAGUUGGCGGGGUAAAGGCCCACCAAGGCGACGAUCCGUAGCUGGUCUGAGAGGAUGAUCAGCCACACUGGAACUGAGACACGGUCCAGACUCCUACGGGAGGCAGCAGUGGGGAAUAUUGGACAAUGGGCGCAAGCCUGAUCCAGCCAUACCGCGUGGGUGAAGAAGGCCUUCGGGUUGUAAAGCCCUUUUGUUGGGAAAGAAAAGCAGCAGGUUAAUACCCCGCUGCUCUGACGGUACCCAAAGAAUAAGCACCGGCUAACUUCGUG
rnacentral:rRNA from 1 species